rnacentral:rRNA from 1 species
CCUACGGGUGGCAGCAGUAGGGAAUCUUGCACAAUGGGCGAAAGCCUGAUGGAGCAACGCCGCGUGGGGGAAGAAGGUCUUCGGAUCGUAAAACCCUGUUGUUAGAGAAGAAAGUGCGUGAGAGUAACUGUUCACGUUUCGACGGUAUCUAACCAGAACGCCACGGCUAACUACGUGCCAGCAGCCGCGGUAAUACGGAGGAUGCGAGCGUUAUCUGUAUUUAUUGGGUUUAAGGGGUGCGCAGGCGGAAGAUAAAGUCAGCGGUAAAAUUGAGAGGCUAACCCGCUUCGAGCCGUUGAAACUGGUUGUCUUGAGUGCGCGAGAAGUAUGCGGAAUGCGUGGUGUAGCGGUGAAAUGCAUAGAUAUCACGCAGAACUCCGAUUGCGAAGGCAGCAUACCGGCGCUCAACUGACGCUCAUGCACGAAAGUGUGGGUAUCGAACAGGAUUAGAUACCCCUGUAGUC